AAGUCGUAACAAGGUCUCCGUAGGUGAACCUGCGGAGGGAUCAUUACUGAGUGAGGGCUAACCGCCCGACCUCCCAACCCUUCUGUCGUCUCCGACCGCGUUGCCUCGGGGGAUCCGCCGUCCGCGGCGGCCCCCGGAGGACCCCAUAACUCUGCGUAACCGUCGUCUGAGUCCAAACAAAAAUUGAAACACAACUUUCAACAACGGAUCUCUUGGCUCUG
rnacentral:misc_RNA from 1 species